rnacentral:rRNA from 1 species
UGGGGAAUUUUGGACAAUGGGCGAAAGCCUGAUCCAGCAAUGCCGCGUGUGUGAAGAAGGCCCUCGGGUUGUAAAGCACUUUUGUCCGGAAAGAAAUCCUUGGCUCUAAUACAGUCGGGGGAUGACGGUACCGGAAGAAUAAGCACCGGCUAACUACGUGCCAGCAGCCGCGGUAAUACGUAGGGUGCAAGCGUUAAUCGGAAUUACUGGGCGUAAAGCGUGCGCAGGCGGUUUGCUAAGACCGAUGUGAAAUCCCCGGGCUCAACCUGGGAACUGCAUUGGUGACUGGCAGGCUAGAGUAUGGCAGAGGGGGGUAGAAUUCCACGUGUAGCAGUGAAAUGCGUAGAGAUGUGGAGGAAUACCGAUGGCGAAGGCAGCCCCCUGGGCCAAUACUGACGCUCAUGCACGAAAGCGUGGGGAGCAAACAGGAUUAGAUACCCUGGUAGUCCACGCCCUAAAACGAUGUCAACUAGUUGUUGGGGAUUCAUUUCCUUAGUAACGUAGCUAACGCGUGAAGUUGACCGCCUGGGGAGUACGGUCGCAAGAUUAAAACUUAAAUGAAUUGACGGGGUCAUAGCUGUUUCCU